UAAUUUGAGCUAUUUAUGAUUUUUAUCUUGCAGGGACUAAAUUGAAGGCAAACGGAAAUUUGGGGGAAAAAGAGUGAAUUUAAAGAUAAAAUGGGCUAAGAUGCGAAGUAGGAGAGAAGUGGUGCCAGAAAUGCAAAGUAUGGAAGACUUGGACGGCGAUAGUGCAAAGAAGAGAUUUUAUAAAAAUAAGACUAUUUAAUUUUUAAUUAUAUUAGGAAAAUUAUUAAAGAUUAUUAUUUAGAUUUAAUGUUAGCAUUUAUCUUUAUUUAUCUUUAAUUAUCUUUAAUUAU
rnacentral:lncRNA from 1 species